rnacentral:rRNA from 1 species
GUCUACGGCCAUACCACCCUGAACGCGCCCGAUCUUGUCUGAUCUCAGAAGCUAAGCAGGGUCGGGCCUGGUUAGUACUUGGAUGGAAGGAAUAGUCUAGGGCAGAAUUGUGAAUU